rnacentral:rRNA from 1 species
AGAGAGAGACAUGCGCGCAUAUCAAUAAGCGGAGGAAAAGAAACUAACUAGGAUUCCCUCAGUAACGGCGAGUGAAGCGGGAAGAGCUCAAAUUUGAAAUCUUCAAGGUUCUACCUUGACGAAUUGUAGUUUAAAGAAGUGUUUUCUGUUGGAGUUUUGGUAAAAGUUCUUUGGAAUAGGACAUCAUAGAGGGUGAGAAUCCCGUAUUUGACCAUUAUUUCCAGCUUUGUGAUACACUUUCAAAGAGUCGGAUUGUUUGGGAAUGCAGUCCAAAAUGGGUGGUAAAUUUCAUCUAAAGCUAAAUAUUGGCGAGAGACCGAUAGCGAACAAGUACCGUGAGGGAAAGAUGAAAAGAACUUUGAAAAGAGAGUUAAACAGUACGUGAAAUUGUCAAAGGGGAAGCGUUUGACACCAGUGUUGUUUUCUCGAAAAUCAAUUAAAAAAGGCAGGAUUUUGUGUUGUAUUGACUUUAUCAGCUUUCUGCACUCUUUUCUUGUCUUUUUUAAUGCACUUUUCGUUUAACAAGUCAACAUCAAUUUCUUUUGUUGUAAAAGGGUCAUUGGAAGGUGGCUUUCUUUUCGGAGAAAGUGUUUAUAGCCUUUGGCCUCUGCAAUCGGAGAGAUUGAGGUCUGCAGCGUAGAUCCUUCGGGGUUAGAUACAUUUGUGCUAAGUUAUAGCCUUUCAUAGACAACUUGUUGACUAUGAUCAGUCAUGUAGCUUACUCGCUUAUGCUAUUUUACCUACGCUUAGGAUGUUGAUGUGAUACUGCGAGCA